AUUGAACGCUGGCGGCGUGCCUAACACAUGCAAGUCGAGCGGUAACAGGUGUAGCAAUACAUGCUAACGAGCGGCGGACGGGUGAGCAAUAUUUGGGAAUCUGCCUAUUAGUGGGGGAUAACCCGGGGAAACUCGGGCUAAUACCGCAUACGCUCUACGGAGGAAAGCCGGGGACCNCAAGGCCUGGCGCUAGUAGAUGAGCCCAAAUCGGAUUAGCUAGUUGGUGAGGUAACGGCUCACCAAGGCGACGAUCCGUAGCUGGUUU
rnacentral:rRNA from 1 species